UAUGGUUCUGAGUGAAGAAGACUCCUCUCUUCUCUUGGCUUUGUCUCAACCUCUCCCAGUUCCCGAGGCAAUCUCUCUCCCACAGCUCCCCUGUUCCAAGGGCUGUCCGCCUCCUGUUCAAUAUAUUCUCAGAAACUCUCAAAGUUACUCCCUGUGACGUUGGCAGGUACGCUGGUGAGAAGAACACUCUUCUCCUGGAGACAGACGAGACAUUCCUCGGUUUCAUUCAGAGUGUCCCAAGAGAAAGAAGAUGGACUCCAGCAUCAACAGAACAGCCGAGGGGGACACUUCUAGGGGCUCAGUGACAGUCAGUGGCAGGUAGGAGCUGCCGAAGGCUACCCUCAUGAUACUACCUGGCCGUGGGAUCACACGGUUUAGUAUUGGUGGUGCAAAGGGGACGAUCAGACAUACGGGGGUUUGAUUUCUCCUUCUUUCACAUGCUGUGUGACCUUGGGUAAGUUACUCUAAAUUCUCUGAGCCUCAGCUAUAAAAUGGGGAUAACAUUACCCACUUGACUAGGGCUGUAAUUAGGAGUAUGUCAGCUAACCUAUAUAAAUGCCCCAAUAACUAUCCAGUCCCUUCCUUAAGUGCCCUUCCCUAGACUUUCCCUCACUAGCCCGGGAGACCCCUGAAGGGCAGGAACAGAUCUUCUCCUUGUAUUUAUUUCUAGCGUAGGUUCUGGCCCAUAGCAAGCAAGCCUGUAAUAAAGUAGUGAAUAAAUGAAUGCAAUUGUUUUUGCAGUUGGUAGCACACCUUUAGUUCCUGCUAAAUCAGAUAUCCACAAUUUGAGAAGAGGAAACUAGGGUGAGGAUGCCUGAGCCAGAGCUUCCUGGUCCAAAUAACCAUGUUUCCCUCUGAUGUGGAUAACAGAGGUAGACUGCACAAGCUCUUCCACUCCAUAAUAAUGUUUUCUUUUUAAAAUGGAACUUUAAAUUUUAUAGACGGAGUAUUACAUCCUAGUAACUAGAAUGAAAAGUCUUUCUUCUACUCAACUGUCUCAUUUAAUUCUUAUUACAACUUACUUGGUAGGUAACAUUGUUGUUUCCAUCUUAUAGCUACAGAAACAGAGAUCUGUGUUCUUAACUGAUGCUUAUCAUUCAUAUUAAUAUAAUCCUAACCAGUGUAUUCUUCCUUUUUCUUCCAGGUUUAUUGAGCUAUAAUUGACAUACAGCACUGUGUAAGUUUAAGGUGUACAGCAUAAUGAUUUGAUUUACAUAUCAUGAAAUGAUUACCACAAUAAGUUUAGUGAAUAUCAUCUCACACAGAUAUAAAAUUAAAGAAAUAGAAAAAGUUUUUUUCCUUGCGAUGAGAACUCUUAGGAUUUACUCUCAACUUUCAUAUAUAACACACAGCAAUGUUAAUUGUAUUUAUCAUGUUGUACAUUAAAUUAUAUCCCUAGUACUGAUUCAUCCUAUAAUUGGAAGUUUGUACCUUUUGACUACCUUCAUCCAAUUUCCCCUCCCUCCAAAGUGCUGCAUUUUUAAAAGAUGUCUCAAUUUAGAGUAAGACUUGAAGAUCUACUACAGCUCAAUACCUCUUUCACUAAUCCUCAACUAUUAUUAAUUAAACUAAUUAAUUAUUAAUUUCACUAAUCCUCAACUAUUAUUAAUUAAUUUAAUUCUAGCAUUCUCUUGGGUUCAAGCAGAUGAUAAUGACCAAACUAAUUCUAAAAUAUUUUGUAGACCCCAAGAUUCAUUUAGGGCUUUCACUGGUUUUGGAAAUUAAGACACCUUGGAUUUAAAAGCUUAUUCAAGCAGCUUUGCAUACAGUUAUUCUGUUUUCUUGGACUAGAGAAGAAACUAAAUGAUUCCAAUUUAUCAAUAUAGAAAUCAAUGAUGCUGUUUUUGCAGCAUUUUUAAUUAGCCUCAGUUCCUUAUCUGUGAAGGGGACACUAAAAGUAUUUGCCAUGCUUAUGCGAGACACCCGUGGAAACACCAGGGCUUUGCCAGCUGUGAAAAGCUGCAGCUGCUAGAUGUAACCCUAUUGCGAUAGACUGCCAAAGGUCCUUUCCAGUGCUAAUUUUCCAUAAUUCCAAGAUUCUGCAGUCCAGCAGUAAACAAGGUUUUUACUUACAAUCUACAUUUUUCUUUCUGUCUGAUCCUUAUUUUUGCUGUCUGAAAGAAACUUUGGGGAAAAAAAAUGCAGUGCGUGUGUGUGUUUCUUUUUUCUUAUAGUACAGUAGUUGCCCCCUUACCCAAGGUUACACUUUCUGAGGUUUCAGUUACCUCUGGUCAACUGCAGUCUGAAAAUGUGAAAUGGAAAACUCCAGAAAUAAACAAUUCUUAAAUUUUCAA